rnacentral:rRNA from 1 species
GGGGAAUAUUGGACAAUGGGGGCAACCCUGAUCCAGCCAUGCCGCGUGUGUGAAGAAGGUCUUCGGAUUGUAAAGCACUUUAAGUUGGGAGGAAGAGCUUUAGGUUAAUACCCUGAAGUUUUGACGUUACCAACAGAAUAAGCACCGGCUAACUCUGUGCCAGCAGCCGCGGUAAUACAGAGGGUGCAAGCGUUAAUCGGAAUUACUGGGCGUAAAGCGCGCGUAGGUGGUUCAGUAAGAUGGGUGUGAAAUCCCCGGGCUUAACCUGGGAACUGCUUUCAUAACUGCUGAGCUAGAGUACGGUAGAGGGUAGUGGAAUUUCCUGUGUAGCGGUGAAAUGCGUAGAUAUAGGAAGGAACACCAGUGGCGAAGGCGACUACCUGGACUGAUACUGACACUGAGGUGCGAAAGCGUGGGGAGCAAAC